GGAUGGGGUCGGGUAAGGGCGAGGUUUCCAGCUGAGUCUCAGGGUAUCUGGCCCCUUUCUCGGGGGCUGAAGGAGGAUGUGGAGGGGCGGUGAGCUUUCGGCGGUGAGUUCCAUUCGGGACACACCUGCAGGGCCUGCAGGGCACCCAGCUGGAGCUUCUUGGCAGGGAAGUGGGCACCAGAGAGCGGGGGAAGGGGGGAUCUGGCUGACAUCAGCACACAGAGGGUAACUGAGUCACUGAGUGAGGAGGGCUGUGGGGGUGACAGGAGAAGCAGGCAGGGGCAGAACACGGAGGGGUCCCUGAACAUUCAGGAGUCGGGCAAGGAGCGCAAGGUCCUCAUCUCCUGGAGGGUUUGGCCGUGAACAGAGAGCAACAUUUUGAUGGUCAGGUGGUCAGGAGAGGGAUGAACUUUGGUGGGGUGGGGGGCAGGGAAACUGGACUUGUAGGCUUUCUGAACAUCCCACCAAGUGGCUGUCUGUUCAGCAGACCUGUCCUCAGGGCGACUGAUGUCUGCGGGAACUGACUCAGGUGCAGUCAGACUCUGAAGGCCUCUCUGGCUGCAGUGCUGAGCACCCAUGAUAGCGGCUGGAUGACCUGAAUUAUGGGAGUGUGCCGGUAACAAACCCUUGGAAGCAGCGGGGGCAUUGGCCUCCUGCUCCCCAUUUACCCUGUGCUCUCCCCGAUCAGCCGCGUGCCAGAAGCAGAUGUCGUGUGUUUGGAUCUGUCUCACUGCUGAAUUCACCUUCUGAAUUUUUCCCAGGUAUUGCCGCUCUCAGUGUGGUAGAAAAGGUGUCCAAUGGUGUUGUGCUGGAGCCGCCCCCACCAGCUCCUGAGAGCCAAUGGUUACGUGUUGAGAGACAAGGUCCUGCUAUGUUUCCCGGGCUAAUCUCGUACCUGGCCUCAAGCCAUCCUCCCGCCUCAGCCUCCCAAAGUGCUGAGCUUGCAGGUAUAAGCCACCAUGCCUGGCCCCUUUGUGCUUCUUACACACUAAAUAACCAGAUGGAAUCUAAUAACUGGCAUAAUUUGAAACUAGAG
rnacentral:lncRNA from 1 species